UACAGAGGAGCCAAGCGUUGUCCGGAUUGACUGGGCGUAAAGCGCACGCAGGCGGUUGCGCGCGUGGGGUGUGAAAUCUGGCCGCUUAACGGCCAGGCGCCAUCCCAUACGGCGCGACUGGAGUGAUGCAGAGGUCGAUGGAAUUGCCGGUGUAGUGGUGAAAUGCGUAGAGAUCGGCAGGAACACCCAGGGGGAAACCAGUCGACUGGGCAUCUACUGACGCUGAGGAGCGAAAGCCAGGGGAGCAAACGGG
rnacentral:rRNA from 1 species